UACGUAGGGUGCAAGCGUUAAUCGGAAUUACUGGGCGUAAAGCGUGCGCAGGCGGCUUUGCAAGACAGAUGUGAAAUCCCCGGGCUUAACCUGGGAACUGCAUUUGUGACUGCAUGGCUGGAGUGCGGCAGAGGGGGAUGGAAUUCCGCGUGUAGCAGUGAAAUGCGUAGAUAUGCGGAGGAACACCGAUGGCGAAGGCAAUCCCCUGGGCCUGCACUGACGCUCAUGCACGAAAGAGUGGGGAGCAAACAGG
rnacentral:rRNA from 1 species